rnacentral:misc_RNA from 1 species
UUAUUAUUAUUAUUAUUAUUUACUGGUGCGAUUAUAUCUGGCUUGCUGCUGUUUACUAACGAACUUACUAAAGAACAGUUGGCAUCUUGUCAUAUAUUGGUACUCAUUGUGGUUCAGUUCUGAAGUAUUAGUUAGAGAUGUUAAAACUUCAUCAGCUGGUUGCUUAAACAUUGUUGAAUUUUGAUACAAAUCAAAAUUUUCUGAUUAGAAAGAUUCAUGUUUACAAAUUGGAUAACAAUAUGGAUAGGUAACAUUUGGCUGGUUGUCAAACCAGUUAGUUCUGUUGACUUUAAAUUUAGCAAUAGAAAAACUAUGAGAUUGUGUCUGGAUAGAGAAUUUGAAAUGAAGUUUUAGUUCAACUUCAAAUUAUGUAAAAUAAAGGUUUGAACUCCAAAAUGAAGGAAAAGAAAUGCUUCUACCAAUUCUAAGGGUCUACUGGAAAUUUCACUUUUUUAAUAGGUGUCUCAAAUUCAUCUUAAAAUAACUUUUCAUCCACAUUUGGUGCGAUGGCUUGUUAAUUAGGUCUUCUCUUGGCCUCAUGUUACUUAAACCAUUUGCAUGCUACUAGAUUAAUAUCAUUAGAUUACGCUGUCACUUUCUGGCAAAAGCAAAGUUCAAUAUUCAGACAUCAUAUGCUUGAUUAUCAGUUUAUAAUGUCCAAAUAUCUAUUAUUUGCUUAACUUUGCAUGGCUAUCAGUUUUCCCACCUUUUCAGACUGAACUUAGUGCUGAUUGUCACAGGUCUUUUCUCUGCGGUGGUUCG